UACGGAGGAUGCGAGCGUUAUCCGGAUUUAUUGGGUUUAAAGGGUGCGUAGGCGGACUGUCAAGUCUGCGGUAAAAUUGAGAGGCUCAACCUCUUCCCGCCGUUGAAACUGGUGGUCUUGAGUGGAUGAGAAGUACGCGGAAUGCGUGGUGUAGCGGUGAAAUGCAUAGAUAUCACGCAGAACUCCGAUUGCGAAGGCAGCGUACCGGCAUCCAACUGACGCUGAGGCACGAAAGCGUGGGUAGCAAACAGG
rnacentral:rRNA from 1 species